UACGUAGGUGGCUAGCGUUGUCCGGAUUUACUGGGCGUAAAGAGCCCGCAGGCGGCCUGGCAAGUUUCAGGUGAAAUCUCCCGGCUCAACUGGGAGGGUGCUUGGAAAACUGCCAGGCUUGAGGCAGGGAGAGGGAUGCGGAAUUCCCGGUGUAGCGGUGAAAUGCGCAGAUAUCAGGAAGAACACCCGUGGCGAAGGCGGCUCUCUGGGACGGUACUGACGCUGAGACGCGAAAGCGUGGGGAGCGAACAGG
rnacentral:rRNA from 1 species